CAUGACUGACGUCGUUCAAAAUUGACUUCCGGUGUGAAAACCCGUGACGACACCGCCUUAUUUUAUGACAAAGAAUAGUCACGUCGCGUCAGUGCGGCACGACGCCGUGUUUAUCUCAACGUGAACAUGUUUGCAUUUGGUCUGUCUUUUUAGUGCUAAUGCUCCACCCCAGCUCCCAAAAAGAAGAAGAAGAAGCAACCUGUCUGUGAUCUUCGACGACUUCUGCUUUCUUCAAACACUGCAAUCAGCACCCAAAGGACAACAGAAGAAUGCCGACAAAAGAGCAAAAAGAGCACAAGUCCCCGCCUGAUGGAAGGCCGCAGGACAACACAUCCACGAGGCAGGCGCUACAAGAAUGCUGCAAUAAAAGACAACUUGAGGACUCGAAGAGCAAACCUUACCAUGCCAAUAUUUUUCUCUUGCUCAAUUUAUGGCUUUAAUAUUAACAUCCAGUGAGGUCUGUCGCUAAUGGCUAUAAUUGCGCUUAUGUGUGAAGAAAGCCUCAGUCGCAUCUAGUAAUCACAUCGGAAUAUAUCAAUGUAGCAGUUUUAUAUUUUGUAUAAAUGCUCGUUUUUGAUAGGGUUGCUAUAUUCAUUUUAGCUUCUUAUACGUUAGUUUAUCAUUUAUUCUGCAAAUACGUUUAUCCUCCAGGCAGACUUUAAUCAACU